UUAGGUAUGGGAAGUAGGUACAUAAAAUAGUAAAUGAGUUUGUCUGUACUCAUACUCUUGUAUAGUUGUAUUCACUCUAAUCAUACCUGUCUGUUCUCAAUUAUUUAUUAAACGAAUAUAUAAGUGUAUAUUAUAUUUUUAAAAACAUACAAAGAAACCAAUAAUCGUAAUAAUGAUUGGAAUUAAGAAAACAUGGCUUUACGUUCUUUUCGUAAUGACAAUAAUACUUGUAUCUUCGACGUACGGUAUGAGUUUAUUAAAAACACCAUAUAAUAGGACAACGAAUAUGGUCUCCAAAUAUUCCAAUACUUUUCAACUCAAUGACACACCGACACCAAAUAUAUCAUCAUCCGUAUAACUAUUUACAAAAUAAUAUUAAGGUUUAAUAAAGUAUUCAUCAAUUUUCAAAUGGUUAUAAAAAAUUAUAAAUCAAUGAGCGUUCAAUAUAAAAUUUAAUUCAACACAACAAUAUUAAUGUUAUGUAAUUUAACUAUAAAAAAUAAUAAAUAAUCCAACAAUAAAAUUUAAUAAACAUUAUCAUGCAAUA